GGAGGCACCAAACAGGUUGGAUGAGUACAGGUGAGCCAGGAAGCAGCUUAUGCUAAUUUGUCAACAUGAGAGAGGAAAUCCUACUUAUAGCCGCACUUGUGAGAGGGAGACAGGGCUACAAGAGAGCCUAUUAGAUAACCAAUUCUCCUGCCGGCCGCCUCACAGGAGGAGCGUGAGCGAGCGAGCGAGUGGGUGAGGGAGAGAGUGUACCUGCGAUGGUGGACACACAGGAAUUUCAUUCAAAUCCAGCCCUGCAAGUAACAGACAUGGCAUACAGGAAAGUGCGUGCAGGCCAUGGUUCUCUCCGUGUGCGGGAUCUGGAGAACGAGGAGCUCCACACGGCUUCCCUGGAGCUAGAAUGGGACAUGGAGAAGGAGCUGGAGGAACCGGGUCUCGACCGCUUCCAACUGGAGUGUGUGGAGCAUCAGCCCGUCAGCAGCUCUUCAGGUGGGACCAUGGACCCAGACCUGGAACCAAUUCAACCAUCCGUCUCCCCUCACGGACGCUUUGAGAGGCUCCAGGAGGACCCGAAUUACGUUACUCGAUUCAGCCGGACGGUUCCCAAGGGUCAGAGACAAAAUUGGACCUGUGUGGCCAAAUACCUGCUAGUAGGAGUGUGUGUGUUUGCUGCGGGACUGCUCAUUGGACGAUACACAUUCAGCAGGGUGCAAGUGAAGGAAGAGCCGAUUGCAGACACAGACGUACUGGAGAAGAUUGGUCUGGGAAUCACAGCAGAAAAGAUACAGGCACUGCAGAGGGACUUUGACAGCUUGUCAGAUCUUACCGAAGAGUCCAAGGUCAAAUAUAUUGCACAGCGGUGGAAGGAGAUUGGCUUGAAGGAUGUCCAAGUUACCAAACACAUGGCCCUUCUGAGCCAUCCUGGACCCGUUCUCAGUACCAUUGUUGAUAAGAGCGGAAACCAGUGCUAUCUGCCCAGCGGAGCGAGAUGUGAGAAGCAGUUCACAACCACAAGUGAGGCUUUUGCCUUUGCGGCCUACUCUGCAGUGGGCAAUAUAGUGGCAGAGGUGGUGGAUGUUCAGUAUGGAAGCCCUGAGGAUUUGAGACACGUCCAAGCUAGUACAAAUGUGACCAAUAAAAUUGCAUUGCUAAAACUCGGAGGAGCACCUUUGCUUUACAAGCUGUCUCUGUUGGUAGAGCUGGGGUUUGCUGGCUGUCUUCUUUAUGUGGAUCCUUGUGAUGGCUCAUUUGGGUAUAAGACCUUUGGGGUGACACUGAACCCAGGUGGGAACCCGUCUUUUCCAAAAGACCCCAGAGUUGUCGGCAGAGACAAUCUCUACAACCUGACAUCAUUGCUGGUUCAGCCUAUAUCUGCCUCAUUGGCAAAAAUGCUGCUCUCUGCCUCAGCCAUGGGGCAAGGAAGACCCUGCGUCCCUAUGAUCAUGCCCCCCACUUCAGCACGAAAAAUCAUAAAUCUCACCAUUGAAAACCAGGUAUCCUUCAAGGCAGUGCACAAUGUAAUGGGAUAUCUCAAAGGCAAGACCAAUCCAGAUCGAUAUGUCCUGGUUGGCAGUCGUCAUGGCAGCUGGUAUGAGGGUGCGUUGGCGGACUGGGGAAAUGGUUCUGCAGUCAUGACUCAGAUCAUUGCCUUUAUGAUGGCUCAAACCCGUGUAGGCUGGCGACCGGACCGUACCAUCGUCUUCUGCUCCUGGGGGGGGACUUCUUUGGGCAAUAUUGGCUCCUAUGAGUGGGGAAAGGAGAAUGCACUGGUGCUACAGAGCAGGGCUGUGGCUUAUGUCAGCCUGCACAGUCCCAUGACAAACUCUGGAUCCCUGCAGGCCACAGCGUCACCUUCCCUUCUGCAACUGGCAGGAGAAAUACAAAAGAGACAUUCUAUGAGCUGCAGCAGAGGAGCUGGUUGCUCUGUGUCCAGUGUCAGCUCACUGCAGACUCCUGGAGAUGCCAACUUUUUCUCCAAUCAGCUUGGAGUGCCUACGGUGGAGUUCACAUACGCAGAGGUCCCUAAAACAGAGAGAGCGCUUUUUCUCUCUGAGGCCUUUUUCCCUCCUGAGUCUUCAUUAGGAGAAACCUUGGAUCCAGCCUUCAAACUCCAUGAGACUAUUGCCAAGAUAACAACCGAGGCCAUCCUACGACUGGCUACAGAUCCUGUUCUUCCAUUUUGCCCUUUGGAUGUAGCCCUGAAUGUCCAGAGCAAACUCAAAGAUGAAACACUGAGAGGGCUGGACCUGCUAAACGUGGCUGCAUCUUUGAGGGAAAACUCAACUUUCUUCCAGUCUGAGGUCAUGCGUCCUGCCAAUGACCCCAAAGAGAGAGAUCCUGCCCAUGUCCGCAUGCUCAACGAUGUCCUCCGAGAUCUGGAAAAAAGCUUUCUUAUCCCAACCCCACCUGCUGGCUUUUACAGGAAUAUUCUCUAUUGUUUGAGCAGACAAACUCCACGCUUCUCUAUCCUAAAGGAUGCCCUGGAGGUUUCCUGGCACAACAGCAUCAGCCAUUCCCAGAAUCUGGUAUACAGCGCCAUUAGUUCAGCUCAGAAACUUGUGCAAAGUGGACUCGACCUGUUUGAGAAUGAAAAUGACAACCUAAAAUGA
ensembl:lincRNA